UGGUCCUCUCCACCAAUCGGAAGGCUCGGAGGGCCACUGGCCCGGGAGAGGGACUUAGCGCGCGGAGGACAGGGUGCGGAGGACCGGGUGCGGAGGACCGGGUGCGGAGGGCCGGGUGCGGAGGACCGGAAGAGUUCUGCUACGAGGGUCUCACCCACGACACGGUGGCUGGCUGCGGUUUCGCGUCCGGGUCUCAACCCCUGGGUGCUUCGCCCCUUUGCAGCGGCUCCUCCACCUGCUGCCCGCAGAGGCUUGAAGGGCGCCUCCGCACUUAAGCCUUGAUGGAGUAGGAAGCACAGGAAAUCCAUUUCUCUACCUAGACAACAAUUGCACUGGCAGAAACUGUCCGAAAUAACUAUUUUGGAACUCCGGAGUCCACUUGAAUUCUUGCAUCUUCCAAGGGAAAGUUUGGUUGGUAAAUUGAGGUUAAUUUCAGUCAAUGUCAGACUUUAGUGUAAUAGCACCUCCCUGUUUCCUACCCCUCAACCCUGUGGCAGGCAGCCAUGUUCACAUUCCUGGUGUGGCUUGCUGGAGCCGUGGUGGGAAAUAAGAACCUUGUUCGCCAAAUACCGGAGUUCUGUGUUUUGAUUGCUGAUCACUCCUUUUGAGUUCUGAGAUUCAGGCACAGAAUAGCUGCCAAUGUUUCAACCCUCAUUGGCUGAAGCUAGCUCUAUGGGAUUUGAAGGAACAGCUCCUGUUUUGUUUUUUUGUUUGAUUUUUUUCCCUUCAACUACACUUCGGAGCCAGACGUUUAAAGAUUAGGACAUUCAAAAGCAAUCACUUACAUGGGGAAAAUUAGAAAGCCACCAUGUAUAACCAGGAAAAGAUGCAGACUCAGAAAAGAACUGAGAAGACCUUAAUCUUUCACCUUAGGCUGAUCCUGAUCCCUGGCACAGAGACAUCCUUCAACAAUAAAACACAAACAAAAACAGCAAUCCCUGGGAAAGGGGAAGAAUCUGAUUUCCAUAGUUACCACAUUAUAAGAUUCAAAUGUCCAUUUUUCAGCAAAAAAAAAAUAAAAAGUCAUACAAAUAGGGAAGUAUGGUCCAUUCAGAGAAACAAAAUAAAUGAACAGAAACCAUCCCUGAGAAAGAUCGGACCUAUGUCUUACUAGACAAAGACUUUAAAUAGUCUUGAAGUUGCUCACUGAGUUAAAAGAAAACAUGAAUGAAGUCAGAAAAACUAUGAAAAAUGGGAAUAGCAUUAAAGAUACAGAAA